GGCUGUGGACCACCUUGCCCAUGCGAUGGGAGACAAGCUGGGUUUUUUUUCCUUUUGGCUCUAAGGUUAUUCUAGGGAGGUGGGUAGCUACAGCCCACGUCUGUUGCUUAUUAACACCUCGAGACCAGCAGGUGAAAAAGAGACAGUGUUUAAUAGAGAAGGAGGAAGAACACAGAGAACAGGGAGGAAACACAUGCCCUUCUCGGAUGGCUUCACAGCUGGCAGCCAGGGGAAGGUCCAGCUCGGCCGGGGAGUUGGCGUCCGGGCAGACGAGGAGGCUCCCGUCCAGCGAGAGGAUGAGGUAUUUCUCCUUCCACUGCUUAAAGAGGAAGCCCCCUGCAAAGGACUACUGGAGGUCAAGAUUGGGUGGGGGAACAAGGUCAAGAGAGGCGAGCGCGUGGGCAGAGGGCCUUGAGUGGUGUGUAUCUGGAGGAGCGCCAGCCAGCUCCAGAACAGCUACUAACGCAGGGGUGGCCUCUUGCAUGGAUGCGUCUCUGCAAGGACCUUGCAAAGACCGAUGUCAGGGCACAGCACGGCCGUUAACUGAGACCUGCAGAGUUGGAAGGGAACCCGAGGGGGGGGGGUCAUCCAGUCCAACCUCCGGCCAGUGCAAGAAAUCUGCAGCAGAGCUGACGCAGCCCUUCAGUCUCUGUUGAAAAACCUCCUAUGGAGGCACGUUCUCCCACUUUCCAAGGGAAACUCUUGAGCAGCUCCUUCAUGAAUGGCUUCCUUACAAUUAAUUCUUUCCCACCAAUAACAAAAGUAUGACUCAGUUACAUUUCCAUGGCAUCUUAACCGAUAACAUCGGAGAUGCAACUACUGUAUCCCUCCUUUCUGGAAACAGUAACUAUCUCCAGAGGAGAUGCAAGUGUAAGAUUUCCAUGGCAUCUUAACCGAUAACAUCGUCUGACUCCACCAGUGAUGCAACUAUCCCUCCUUUCUGGAAACAGUAACUACCUCCAGAGGAGAUGCAAGUGUAACAGGAGCCUCUUCUUGAGAAGAAACAGAUCAGAACCAAACUUUCCUUGCUCUUUCGCCCUUAUAAGCCUCGUGGUGGCAAAUGUCACGAGCAGGGAUGUCUUAAGCCCGACUCAACAGUGAAUCGUCUGACUCCACCAGUGAUGCAACUAUCCCUCCUUUCUGGAAACAGUAACUACCUCCAGAGGAGAUGCAAGUGUAACAGGAGCCUCUUCUUGAGAAGAAACAGAUCAGAACCAAACUUUCCUUGCUCUUUCGCCCUUAUAAGCCUCGUGGUGGCAAAUGUCACGAGCAGGGAUGUCUUAAGCCUGACUCAACAGUGAGUCCCAUGACUCCAGUCCCCAUCCCUGCUCAUGAGGAGGCACCUUUCAGGGUAAGAGAUUUAUUUACGGACUGUAAUCUAUGACAGUGUGGGGCAUGACGCAUCUCUUAGCCUAAGAGGCAACACAGGAUUCUUUGUCAUUUCCAAGGUCUUUCUGGGGUCUCUCUUCAGGCCACUUAGCCCUGGCGGGGGGUGGAGGAGGUUAAGAACAUGCCUUUCCCCCAUUUGUGGGUAAGCAAAGAUUGUGGUCCAACUUUUGGCUGUUUGGAAAGCUCCCCUGGCUGAGAGGCCAGAUGCCUCCUUUAUCCGGAGGAGUAAUUUGCUACUCAAGAGACUCUUUUUCCAUCCAUCUGCCA
ensembl:lncRNA